GGUGGCUCAGAGGUAGAGUGCUUGCCUUGCAUGCAUGAGGUCCUGGGUUCAAUUCCUCAGCACCA
rfam:Dipodomys ordii contig_56339, whole genome shotgun sequence.